rnacentral:rRNA from 1 species
UACGUAGGUGGCAAGCGUUGUCCGGAUUUACUGGGCGUAAAGGGCGCGUAGGCGGCCCGCUAAGUCGAACGUGAAAUCCCUGGGCUCAACCCAGGAACUGCGUCCGAUACUGGCAGGCUUGAAUCCGGGAGAGGGAUGUGGAAUUCCAGGUGUAGCGGUGAAAUGCGUAGAUAUCUGGAGGAACACCGGUGGCGAAGGCGGCAUCCUGGACCGGUAUUGACGCUGAUGCGCGAAAGCCAGGGGAGCAAACGGG